rnacentral:ncRNA from 25 species
GAGAGCCGGAUGCAGGGAAACUUGCACGUCCGGUUCGGCGAGAGGGAUGAAGAGACUCGUCACUGUAAAGUGAUGGAGCGCUUCAUCCCUACUCUU